rnacentral:rRNA from 1 species
UACGUAGGGUGCAAGCGUUAAUCGGAAUUACUGGGCGUAAAGCGUGCGCAGGCGGUUGUGCAAGACAGGUGUGAAAUCCCCGGGCUUAACCUGGGAACUGCACUUGUGACUGCACGGCUGGAGUACGGCAGAGGGGGAUGGAAUUCCGCGUGUAGCAGUGAAAUGCGUAGAUAUGCGGAGGAACACCGAUGGCGAAGGCAAUCCCCUGGGCCUGUACUGACGCUCAUGCACGAAAGCGUGGGGAGCAAACAGG